UGGGGGAGCAGGUGGGACGUUGUGGGUCCAGCUAUCUCUGCGGCAGGCGAGUCCUAUUAUUAUCUCCAUGUUACAGACAAGAAAAUCGAGACAGACAGGCGUUAUGAGAGACUGUCAUAACCAAGUGUCACACACCAGGUAGCUUACACGGCUGAGGGCCAUUGUUGGGGUGAGACCCCGGCGUCAGUGGGACUGGUCCCAGGCCUGCCUCCUGCUCCCGGGGUUUGCUGGUGUGGCUGGGGCUCCUCGCUUGUGCAGGCUGUCAGCUGCCACAGCCCCACUCCUACUGGACUGGGGCCCACCAGGCCAGGAUGACCUUAUCUGAACCACAUGUGCAAGUGGCCCCUCUUCCACAAAGUCACAUCCGGGGCACUUAAAUACGGAGGGGGUGGGGAGAAGGAGACAGAGAUCGGCCCUCAGCAGGUGUGAUCGAGGUCAUGCCAAGCCAACAGGCAGGACAAUGCCCGGCAGCCUGAGUAGACUCAGGCAGCUGCCUGAGCCGGUGGCUGGCCUGCAGGGGUCGGGGCAGGGUCCCCGAGAGACCUGGAGCCUGGUGGCGACGGAAAACCAACCAUGUUCUAACUGCCGGCUCUGCUCCUGGUGCUGUCUGUGCUCUGUGAACACAAAGCCCACUUCAGUCUUCAAAGAAGAUGUUGAAAACCUCAAACCUCGGGGAAACAGCCCCUCUGCCUCCCCUCUCUCCUGCCGGCCUCCCAGGGAAGAGCCACUCUGGGCUCUCCAUAGUGGCCACAGGGCCUGUCCGUGGCUUGCAGGCCGGGUGCUGCCCGCGUGGCCCUCUGGAAAGUGACAGUGCCUCCCAUGCUGGCCCCCUGCCCCAGUGAUGUCACGGAGGAGCCAAAAAGGAGGAUGGGGCUGCCGGGUAUGCGGAAAACGCCGUUUUCUUUUGCAGACGGAAAAAACCACCGCAAGUUCCCUGUUUGUUCAAAUACGAAGCGUAUUUAUGGAGCAAAAAGGGUUGGUGUCGCCAUUCAGCCCCCUGCCAGGAAAUGGGCUUGGUUUUUUUCUGUCUCCUUGGGACACCCUGUCCCCUGGUGACCCAAGCUGACUCUUCAGGGUUGGGGGCUGGACCCUGGCCCCUGGCUCUGAGACCUCCCCUCCCCCAGCCUCUGGCAUCUCGAGCCCACGCCUCUGCACUUGGAGAAUGGGCAGUGAGGAGUCAAGUGUGCCACCGGCUUCCUCUAUCACUUUUUCAAAGAUUUGUUUAUUUGGAGGGCCGGCACCGUAGCACGGCGUCUCAAGCAGCAGCUUAAACUGCUGUGCCCCAACAUCAACACCCACCCAUCACUUACUUGUUUGCAAAAUGGGAACUCACACACAUAUACCUGCCUGUCUCAUGGAUUAAAAGUGACCUAAUAGGGAUCUGUGCUGUGGUAUAGUAGGUUAAGUCUCCACCUGUGAUGUCAGCAUCCCAUAUGGACGCCAAUUCAAGUCCCAGCUGCUCCAGUUCCAAUCCAGCUCCCUGCUAAUGCACCUGGGAAAGCAGCAGAGGAUGGCCCAAGUCCUUGGAUCCCUGCACCGAUGUGGGAGACCAGAAUGAGGCUCCUGGCUUCAGCCUGGGCCAGCCCCAACCAUUGUGUCGAUUUGGGGAGUGAACCAGUGGAUGGAAGAUCCUUGUCUCUGUCUCUGUCUGUCUCUCUCUCACUCUCUGUAACUCUACCUUUCAAAUAAAUAAAUCUUAGAGGCCA
rnacentral:lncRNA from 1 species